AGAGCUGUCAUCUUGCGAAAAAACGUUAAGCAAUAAGUAGGGCCGUGUAUAGUAAGUGAUCCGAACCUGCCCGGAGCGCCCCCCUUAGAGGCAAGUGAAGUUGGUGAGCCGUAUGAUGGGCAACUAUCUCCUGCGGUUCGGAGAGGACUCAGCUGUUAG
rnacentral:rRNA from 1 species